GAUGAACGCUGGCGGCGUGCUUAACACAUGCAAGUCGAGCGGGAAGUUUUGAACAGAUUCUUCGGAUGCAAUUUAAAAUGGAAAGCGGCGGACGGGUGAGUAACGCGUAGGCAACCUGCCCCAUACAAAGGGAUAGCAUUUGGAAACGAAUAUUAAUACCUUAUGAAACUUAACUAGUGCAUGCUAGGUAGGUCAAAGAUUUAUCGGUAUGGGAUGGGCCUGCGUCUGAUUAGCUAGUUGGUGAGGUAACGGCUCACCAAGGCGACAAUCAGUAGCCGACCUGAGAGGGUGAACGGCCACAUUGGAACUGAGACACGGUCCAAACUCCUACGGGAGGCAGCAGUGGGGAAUAUUGCACAAUGGGGGAAACCCUGAUGCAGCAACGCCGCGUGAACGAUGAAGGCCUUUGGGUCGUAAAGUUCUGUUCUAGGCGAUGAAAACUGACAGUAACCUAGGAGAAAGCCCCGGCUAACUCCGUG
rnacentral:rRNA from 1 species